GAGCGCCUUAAUAUUGAACAACAACGCAGCCGUCUCAUCUUUUAGAGCUGUCCCAGAGAUGCAGAGCAGAUGUAUGAUACUGUGCUGACACUCCACUAGCCCAGCAACUGCUAGAAGGGCUAGGUCAUUAGGAGCAUGCUCAUCUGCAAAGCAUUUAAAGACACUGUAAAAAAAAUCAGCAAAGGAACAGCUUGCCAAGUAGAAGCAACAAUAAAAUCAUGGUUAAGAAAGUCAAGAGACAGAGAUGGUGGGCGCCAAGGAAGGGCCAAAACUCAGAAGGGACUUACUUUUAAUUACAUUUUUUGGAGUUAAAAAA